rnacentral:rRNA from 1 species
CGCCCAGACUCCUACGGGAGGCAGCAGUGGGGAAUAUUGCACAAUGGGGGAAACCCUGAUGCAGCGACGCCGCGUGGGUGAAGAAGUAUUUCGGUAUGUAAAGCCCUAUCAGCAGGGAAGAAAGAGGACGGUACCUGACUAAGAAGCCCCGGCUAACUACGUGCCAGCAGCCGCGGUAAUACGUAGGGGGCAAGCGUUAUCCGGAUUUACUGGGUGUAAAGGGAGCGUAGACGGCAGCGCAAGUCUGAAGUGAAAUGCCGGGGCUUAACCCCGGAACUGCUUUGGAAACUGAGCAGCUAGAGUGCAGGAGAGGUAAGUGGAAUUCCUAGUGUAGCGGUGAAAUGCGUAGAUAUUAGGAGGAACACCAGUGGCGAAGGCGGCUUGCUGGACAGAGACUGACGUUGAGGCUCGAAAGCGUGGGGAGCAAACAGGAUUAGAUACCCGGGUAUU